rnacentral:rRNA from 1 species
GCGGCGGACGGGUGAGUACGCGCGGUUAACCUGCCCUGUACACACGGAUAACAUACCGAAAGGUAUACUAAUACGGGAUAACAUACGAAAGUCGCAUGGCGUUUUGUAUCAAAGCUCCGGCGGUACAGGAUGGACCCGCGUCUGAUUAGCUAGUUGGUAAGGUAAUGGCUUACCAAGGCAACGAUCAGUAGCCGACCUGAGAGGGUGAUCGGCCACACUGGAACUGAGACACGGUCCAGACUCCUACGGGAGGCAGCAGUGGGGAAUAUUGCACAAUGGGCGAAAGCCUGAUGCAGCAACGCCGCGUGAGCGAUGAAGGACUUCGGGUCGUAAAGCUCUGUCCUCAAGGAAGAUAAUGACGGUACUUGAGGAGGAAGCCCCGGCUAACUACGUGCCAGCAGCCGCGGUAAUACGUAGGGGGCUAGCGUUAUCCGGAAUUACUGGGCGUAAAGGGUGCGUAGGUGGUUUUUUAAGUCAGAAGUGAAAGGCUACGGCUCAACCGUAGUAAGCUUUUGAAACUAGAGAACUUGAGUGCGGGAGAGGAGAGUAGAAUUCCUAUUGUAGCGGUGAAAUGCGUAGAUAUUAGGAGGAAUACCAGUAGCGAAGGCGGCUCUCUGGACUGUAACUGACACCUGAGGCACGAAAGCCGGGGGGAGGCAAACAGGAUUAGAAUCCCCUGGAAAGCCCCACGCCGUAAACCAAUGAGUACCUAGGGGUGGGGGGGUUCCCCCCCUCGGGUGCCCCAGUUUA